GAAACCGUUCAGGGGUAAACNUGAGAAACCCAAAAGAUCGAAUGGGGAGAUUCAUCGUCAGCUCAUUUUAUAUAUAUGCUAGUUAUGAUAUGGGUUACUACUUGUAGUAUUGCCUGUACAUUCUUGUAUAUUUAAAUGUAAUAUGUUGUCGGCGUGCACUUCUCCCCUAGUAGGACGUCGCGACCCGUUGAGUUGUUGUUGGUCUACGGCCCAAGUGGAAGCUUUUAGUGAAUUUUAUUCAUUGAAAACUCUUGGUGUUACCUGACUGGCGCUCGUCGGUAUUCGUAUGGUAUUGAGCCGCAUAUUAUAUGCGUCCAUAUCUGUCGCAAGCGAGGUUAGUUACUGAUAGUGCGGACCUAGUGCCGUCGUUGGUGCUAACCAGCUGUUGGUUGUACAGAAUUCUAGGACUGGCUCGUUGAAAUACCUGUCAGCGAUGCUACUGCUUUGGGUACUUUCAGGACCCGUCUUGAAACACGGACCAAGGAGUCUAACAUGUACGCGAGUCAUUGGGAUUUUUAUAAAUUAAACCUAAAGGCGUAAUGAAAGUAAAGGUCGUCCUUGUGUCGACUAAGGGAGGAUGAGCUGUUUAUAUUUUUUAUAACAGCUUCGCACUCUCGGGGCGUCUCAUUCUCAUUGCGAGAAGAGGCGCACCUAGAGCGUACACGUUGG
rnacentral:rRNA from 1 species